GCUGAGCACGUGAGCCGCUAAAACUGCGUGUUGGGGAACUAGCUCCCCAUCUCAUCCCGUCACAUCGUGGAGGAAGGGGCGUCUGCAACAGGGGCCCUAAGGCUGGGGAAGGAGGAGAUGCCUUUUGCUUCUGGAAGACGGGUGCCAUGCUCAGAGCAGCCCAACCAUGACUCACACAUCCAAAUGAGGCUGCUGCCUUAUAAGGAGGCACUUUGAAGGCUAUUAUUCCAAGGAGCCUGCCACCUCCCGAAGCAUUUUUAGAACUCCUGCUUUGAAUCACUACCAGUGUCAAGAUGGUGAAUCCUCACACCUCCUGGGAGCAGUUAUUUUUGGAAACAAUGAAAGUCAGGUUGGCCAAGUUUGCUGGCCUCCUCCUCAGGCUGUGAUGAAGGGGUCAGAAUACCUGCAACGGCCACACGACCACGAUGACCGCAGACUCCCCAGCAACCACAAUUGCAGCCACCACGCUGGAGGGCCGUAUGACCAACAUCAGCAAUCGCUACGGUAAACAGCAAGCACACAAGCACACAACAGCAGUCGCAACCACACCAUCUGCGCGACCACACAACACCCACACAAGCACCGCGACCUGCAGCAACCACUGCGUCAGUGGCCAUUUAUCAACUCUGUCUCAUGUUCCGACUUGAGACCC